UUGUGAAAUCCACAUGAUUGAAGGAGAAGUCUCCCUUGUUAAAGAUCAGCAAUGGCAGAUAAACAAUGCAUGAUGCAAUCUACUCACUAAAAAGAUUACACCAAUACAUCCCAUGCAUGUAUUUCUACCUAUCACCUAUGUAACCUUUGUCAUGAUCUUCAGAGAGUCAUCAACAGGAAAAGGAAUUACCGGUAAGUUGACAGGACUUUCCACACUGUUUCUGGUAGCAGCUUAUGAUUGAAUUGAUGGUAGAAGACAUGGCCCACUUAAUCAAAGAUAAUCCGUAUAGAGUGGCACCUUAACCAUCACUGGUGAAAUAGAAGAUGACUAGUGGAUGGUCAUCACUUUGCAG